rnacentral:lncRNA from 1 species
UAAAUGACUUCCACGUAUCCUUUUUAAUAUACGUUUUCUUCAGAGAUGGUGUUGAAGCUGUUAAGCACAAUCCUAACUAAGGCUGAAAGCUUUUUUUAAAUGUGUGUCCCUCAGAACGCAUUUUUUCUGACACGCAGUUCCAGGAUUACUCCCAGUCUGUACUUCUGUCAGUGACACUACAUGUUUGUUGACAGGACACAGGUUUUAUUUUUAUCAGGUUAACAUGUCCAUAAUCAGGCUCUGAACUUUGCUCUGGUGUGUUUUGUGAAAUGCUCUAGAAAAUGCCUUUAUUCGUAGUCCCUUGCAGGUUUGUAUUCACUUUACAAAUUACAUAUCUGUAAGUGGGAAAAAACUGUACUCUCAAGGGCACAUUUGUUAAGCCCUUUUUAGGAAUGACAUUGUAUAUUUUACUGUCAGUUUUGGUAAACACUGGCCUUCUCUAAAUCAAAAUGAGAAAUAUUUUACAGACUGAGCCCAAUACCCUUCACCUGAGAGCACUGACACCAGUUUUGAUAGUUCAUGGGUUGUAUAAAUACUGGUUUUGAUCCUGUUGUAAGCAAUACCUCAUUGUGCCAAUUUGUUUUUUGCAGGUAUCAAUGGACAGCCUGGGCAGCCACAGUAUUAGUUGCUGUGGCGCCCGCUUCCUGUCUCUAACACCCGUAAUUAGAGACAAGCCCAGGAGGAGAAACAAGACUGAUUCCUUGAAGAGCUCAUCUGGAGGAUCAGAAAGGACAGAGUGGAUGGCUUUGGUGCAAGCUCUGAGGCCAAGGAGAUCUGCCUCUCCCAUCCCUGGAGGAGAGCCGGCUUGCACACUGCUCUCCGAGCUCCUUCUCUCCUGUUCGGACUGCCUCAUGGACUGGAAAGAAGUGGAAGAUCCAUGGGGCCAGAGGAAAAGCAAGCAAGGGAGAAUGGCCUCUUGGCUAGUGGUUAAGAGAGGGGAACUGGGGGUUCAGGUCUCAGCUCCAAGGUCUGCCUAUUCAUUUUGUGUCAUGCAGUCAGGAAAAGGCUUUAUGAUGUUUGUAUUUAGGUCUGAAUGGGGAGGGCACUUGAUUGAUUUACUCUAGUGACGUGUUUCUCUUUGUUGUAUCAAUAAAGAUAUUUGCACAGAAUGCA